CUGAGAGAAGACGGAAGAUGUGAUGUGGUCCCAGUUCAGAGCUUGGGCUUUGAGAUCUGUUGGACACCUCUCCUCUCUCUACCUCUACCUUGCCAAUAAGGCCAGACUAGAAUGCUAGAUGAUGAGAAACAGUGUGCCAGCCACACCCAUCACCCCAGCCAACAGACAACCAGCUGUUAAACAUCAGACAUGGGAACAAGGCCAUCCUAGACAAGCAUGACCCUGGCUAACCUGUAAGCUGACAACAAGACUCCUGAGUAAACCCAGCCAAGAUCGGGUGAACUGGCCCAAAUCAGCAGAACUGCCCAGCUGACCCUGACUAUUAGAAGAUGUCUUGUGGUCAGUCUGGAGAACAACAGCAAGGAUUCCUGAAUCCUCACUGAGAAGCAGCUCAGGAGCAUGGCACGAAGACAGUGCUGGACCGUGCAGCCACAGCCUUGGGAAGCAGAGAAAGACGGAGGUAGGUUGGGAGUUGAAUAUCCCGGCCGGGCUCAAGGCUAAGCUCAACUCAACAGCCCAAGAUGAAGCUUAACUCUGGAUCCUCUCCCUGUGUCUACGUGGACCAGGUGUCUAGCCAGGGCAUGAUCAUCUCAUGGCAACAACAUGAGGGACAAGAGAACAAACCCCAACCACAUACACAACCAGAAUCCCAGCUGAAUGGAUUCACUCAGUCUUGAGAUCCAGACUGGUCCAGGAUAUGCAAUCAACAUCUUUCUGAACUCUUAGAGGAUUGGAGGACAUUUACAGCAGGCCAACAAAGAGGAUACUUACAUUAUGCCUGAGGGGUUGGAGAAGGCUUGACACCGGAAGGGACAUGGGGUCCCAGUCUUGGAAAAUGAGAAGAAGCCACCAAAUAGAGAAAAAGGAAAAAAAGAACUCCACAUACAAAGUAGCAGGUAC